ensembl:lncRNA
CCAGUGAAGAGAGAGUGUGUGUGUGUAUGGAUUAGGGUGGAAGGAGCACUUCUAUAGAAGCACAUAGCCAGGAGGAUGCUUUUUUUAUAUAUAUAUUUCUCUCUCCACUCUCUGUUUAUCUCAUAGGCUACCACAUCUCCAAUCUCUUUGCCAGAGCAAGAAAAACACAAACUCUUCUGUGGGAGAAGUGUCAGAUGUUGAAGCGUUCUGGAGCAUGGUUCUUUAAGGGACAACCCCAGCAAGUCCUCCCUGCUCCCCUGCCCAUCUCCAGGCCCAGAGGGACAGGUACAGAGAGCCCCCGUACCCAGACCCCUACCCAUGCCCAUCACCAGCCCAGUGCCCAGCCCAGCUACCAGUCAGACCCUGGUGCAGAGGACUACACAGAGCGGCAGGAGCAGCAGGAUAACUCCUACUCCAACAUACAAAACCAAAAGCCCACUGAUGAGCCCCCAUACUCCAGU